GUUGUGGUUAAUGAUGCCAAUUUUUUUCCCCGUCUUAUCGACACUGGUGAAAAGAAAACAAAAACUAAGCCAGUUUGGUCUGAAACCACAUG
ensembl:snoRNA small nucleolar SNORD12/SNORD106